ACCGGGAGAUGAUGUGAACAAAAGGCCGAAUUGUAGCGCCCUCGAGCAGAGUGUUCUCAGCGCGGGUGCCAUGACAAAGACCGACCGAAGCGUUCCUCUGAUCCCAACUCAGU
rnacentral:snoRNA from 1 species